GUCCAGAUGGAUGGAGUAGUGGCUGGUUGGUGGACGGCCACCCUGUUCCAACAAGGCUGCGACGUCAGCAAGGUGGUGGUGGAGUCAUGUUUGGGGCCGGAAUCAUGGGAAGAGAGCUGGUCGGCCCCUUUAGGGUCCCCAAAGGUGUAACGAUGACCUCUGCAAAGUAUGUGGAGUUUCUGACUGACCACUUUCUUCCCUGGUACAGAAGGAAGAACUAUGCUUUCCGUAAUAAAAUCAUCUUCAUACAUGACAAUGCAC